rnacentral:misc_RNA from 1 species
UUACAACUUGAACUCAAUCACAAGGUAUGCUAACUCAUGAUGAAAUCAUUGAACGAGACAAGAUUUGAUGUAUUUUAUGAUAAGCUAAGAAUCAAAGAUAUACAAGAUCAAAGGUUAAGAACUAAAGUUUGAACAUGAUAUGUAUCGGCAAUGGUUUAUAGACAAAAGAGGGUAGAAGAAAGGAUUUACGAGAAAUUCUGAUAUAACUUUUUCCCUACUGCUAUUCUGUUAGCGUCAUUUCAUGUUAUAUAGAAUUAUCAAAUAUAUUUGUAAACUUCUUUGUCCUAUCAAGUCUCAAUUAAAGAUCCCAUGAAUAAGUAACCUCUAACUUCUAAGAAUGCAAUCUAUGCUCCACAAUGAAAAGAUUCAACCAUUUGCCAAAAAUGUGAGCAAUAUUUGAAAGAGAGAAGA